UGACAAAAUUCUCGAUGUCUCUUGGUC
rnacentral:piRNA from 1 species